UACGGAGGGGGCUAGCGUUGUUCGGAAUUACUGGGCGUAAAGCGCACGUAGGCGGCUUUGCAAGUCAGAGGUGAAAGCCUGCAGCUCAACUGCGGAACUGCCUUCGAUACUGCCGAGCUUGAGUGCAGGAGGGGUGAUCGGAACUCCAGGUGUAGCGGUGAAAUGCGUAGAUAUCUGGAGGAACACCGGAGGCGAAGGCGGAUCACUGGACUGCCACUGACGCUGAGGCGCGAAAGCUAGGGGAGCAAACAGG
rnacentral:rRNA from 1 species